UGAUCCAGAGUACCACGGGACACGUGAAACCCUGUGGGAAGCAGGAGGGACCACCCUCCAAGGCUAAAUACUACCUAGUGACCGAUAGCGUAUAGUACCGUGAGGGAAAGGCGAAAAGAACCCCGGGAGGGGAGUGAAAUAGAACCUGAAACCCUGCACUUACAAGCUGUGGAAGCACAUUUCUUGUGUGACCGCGUACUUUUUGUAGAACGGGCCAACGAGUUACGUUAAGUAGCAAGGUUAAGCACUUAAGGUGCGGAGCCGUAGCGAAAGCGAGUUUUAACUGAGCGUU
rnacentral:rRNA from 1 species